GUGGGUGCUAUCCGCUGGAGCCACGUCGCACUUCUACAAGGGGUAGUUAUUUAUGGCUCGAUUCUCUCUAUCUUUCCCCGUUCUCCUAUCUUCUGCCUCGCUCCAUCCAGAAUUCCAGAUCGAUGCAAAUAUCAUGAACGAACCCAGAUUUCUCAUCUCUGUCCGGACGGUAGGCGCAGCAAUUACUCGAGGACCAUGAUCCAUAGUCCAUCAAGAUAAUAAUCAGGGCAUCCCACAUGCAGUAGCCAACCAAAUCGGUCUUCAACUAUGGAUGUACCUGAUUUCAAUUUGCACAAGGGCUGGAAGACAAUGCAAUCGUCUCGAUAGAAAAAACAAAACAAAUGGUGCUAACUAUUGGAUGGAAUCAAAUGUAUCUUUGCCUGCCUAGUCUUUGGUGGGACUGUAAUAUUUACAGUAACUGGAUAUCACAGAUUGCUUUCUUGGACACAGGUAGACACCAAAUAUGUCAGCCCUGCGGUACUACAUACAUAUAUUCUAGAGCUAAGACAACAAUAGAAAGUAAAAUAUAUUAUAGAGCUCAGACAUCCAUAGAAGGAUUUUGGAUGACAUCAGUGAUGACUGCAGCAAAAAAGGCCUACUUCCAUGAUCCGUCUAUCAACAUUGUUCAUGGGCUGCGCAUGGUCGAAAAUCCUAUACGGCCUCAGUUCGUUUAAUCCCUCAAAGGCAUGGAUUGCCCUGGAUUGCGUCAUGGUCCUAGCCCAGCGAUGAAUUAGCCAGCGAGGGCUCAGGAUGGUGGCGACCCGUGGCCUAGCAGGGCAUGAAAACGAACGGGGCCAACGGGGGAAGUGAGGGUGGGGAGGUGGGGGAGGGGGCGAGGGCCGAACCAGAAGCGGCGGCGGAGGACCCAGAGCAGGAAAAUGCCGGCGGCGAGGAAGAGCACGUCCUUCCCGCCCAGGCCGGGUGCGGCGGCGGCGUCGCAGGUGGACGUCAUACAUCCCGCCGGCGCUGGGAGAAGUCGACCCAUGGCGAUUGGCGAGGAUUGGCGAGGAUUUGGGAUUGUGUCGGAAGUUUCUAGAGGGAGGAGGGGAAGGGGCUGGCCGGAGAGGCGUUUUUCUUUUCCUUUGGCAAAUCUCAUUUCUGGUACUAUUUCUAAAUAUCUUAUUUGACCCCUGGAGAAAACUAUUUCUAAA